ACCAGUGUCCAGCUGCGCUCAGGAUGCACGGGACCUUGUGAGAGUGCAAGUCCCUAGGGCAACAGCCCUCCAGGUGAUUCCCCAUGGGGCUUUGAGUGAAACAACUGCUUGGAAUUCCAACUGCUUGGGCUAGGUUACUGUAAUCCUGUGUCAGUCUCUGUGGGGAGAGCAGAGGCCGACCGACCAGACAGAUCACCACUGGGAACACUAAAACCCAAUCUCACAUAUCACAUCCUCCAUCAUGGGAGAAAAGCACAGAAAUGUCACAGUGUCAGAAGGUUCAGUCUGUGGAUCAGAGUGAUCCAAAUACUGACAUUGCUUUGGCUUGAAGACUGAGUAUCUGGGGCAGGUGGAUGCUACCACCUGGUGGCAAAUCAACUAGGGAGAGAGGCUGGCUACAAGCCCAACUGUGAGGAACAGACCAGGGUCUCCUUCCUCUGCUGGUGGCCACUCGAUGGGGACCAGGAGAACCUAAUCAUCACCAGGAAGAAAAGGAAUACAUGAAACAGGCCCAGGAGACAGACCUUCCCAUAUGGGUUUCACUAUCUGGCCACUGGAUAACUUCCAGCACACCUUUGUCCCAUUGAAGAGAGAUUCCUUCCACGAAGACAUCCCCACUCAACCCUGGGCAGGAAGCGGCCUGGAUGACUCAGCCUUGAUUCAGAGCUCAACAUCCAGUUGCCUCAUAUGGUCGGAAGGCUGAGCAAGCCAUGAGGAGCAAGCCAGCAAGCCAGCAAGAGUUCAUCUGCCGACUCUGCUUCAGUUCCUGCCCCGACUUCCCUUCAUGACGGACUGGAACUAGCAGCUGAAAUAAAGCUGUUGAACCCAGGCUGCUUUUGAUCGUGUUUAUCACAGCUGCAAAAGCUAAUUUCCUUUUAAAAUACCAUAUUUAUAAAGCAUGUCUGUUACAUA